rnacentral:rRNA from 1 species
UACGUAGGGUGCGAGCGUUAAUCGGAAUUACUGGGCGUAAAGCGUGCGCAGGCGGUUGCACAAGACAGAGGCGAAAUCCCCGGGCUUAACCUGGGAACUGCCUUUGUGACUGUGCGGCUAGAGUGUGUCAGAGGGGGGUAGAAUUCCACGUGUAGCAGUGAAAUGCGUAGAUAUGUGGAGGAAUACCGAUGGCGAAGGCAGCCCCCUGGGAUAACACUGACGCUCAUGCACGAAAGCGUGGGGAGCAAACAGG